rnacentral:rRNA from 1 species
GGGGAAUAUUGCACAAUGGGCGCAAGCCUGAUGCAGCAACGCCGCGUGAGGGAUGACGGCCUUCGGGUUGUAAACCUCUUUCAGUAGGGAUGAAGCGCAAGUGGCGGUACCUACAGAAGAAGCACCGGCUAACUACGUGCCAGCAGCCGCGGUAAUACGUAGGGUGCGAGCGUUGUCCGGAAUUAUUGGGCGUAAAGAGCUUGUAGGCGGUUUGUCGCGUCUGCCGUGAAAAUCCGGGGCUCAACUCCGGACUUGCGGUGGGUACGGGCAGACUAGAGUGUGGUAGGGGAGACUGGAAUUCCUGGUGUAGCGGUGAAAUGCGCAGAUAUCAGGAGGAACACCGAUGGCGAAGGCAGGUCUCUGGGCCACUACUGACGCUGAGAAGCGAAAGCGUGGGGAGCGAAC